UUGCUAUCUGGGAUAUGGAAGAUUCGAACCUGCCGCAGGUUCGGGUCUCACGUAGUGAGACAACGGAGCCGCUUGCGGCGACGGCCCGAAGGGCGAGCAAAGCGAGUCAUCCUGCACGACCCACCA
rnacentral:sRNA from 1 species